UAUUGAGCUCUGCCUGCCGCUGGGCCGCU
rnacentral:piRNA from 1 species